rnacentral:lncRNA from 1 species
CACACGCCCUGACACCGUCCUGAUGGGGUCCUGCAGAGAAGCCUCCUUAGCCCACAGUGCUUCUACCCACCCUCAAUGUAUAACUUCACGUUCAGAAAUGUGUUACCCCCCUCCUCAGACCUCACACAAUUCACGAAUUUCCAAACAGCAGGAAACAGAAACUUCUAAGAAAGCAGAACCCUUGAGUCCAGGUGGGAGAAGGUGCCUGAGAAAACAGCCCUGCCAGAGACAGUACCCCAGCAUCCGGACGUUACUCCACAGACGGCCACGUAAGAGACCAGGAACCACCCUUCCCACGGUACCCCAGCGUCCGGACGCUACUCCACAGACGGCCACGUAAGAGACCGGGAACCACCCUUCCCACGGUACCCCAGCGUCCGGACGCUACUCCACAGACGGCCACGUAAGAGACCAGGAACCACACUUCCCAAGCCUUCUGCACUCCCAAAAACAUCAGCUUCCCGGAAACCUGAGACAUGCUCAAGGAAGAGCACGGUGUGAAGUCAGCUGUGGGUGGAGGAUGACCCAGGUGCCCAGGCAAGAGACUGAAGGCACAAACUGUUUCAGUAUAAUAAAGAAAAUGGAAUAAGAA